GAGGACCUGCGCUCGCGGGGGCUGCUGCGCUCUGCGCUGGGGCCUCUCGGGCUGGGAAUGCGUGGCCCGGCUUUUGAGGAUUUCCUCGGUCCCCGGGCGGAAAUAGCUGGAAUGGAGGGGCCUCUCGAUUGGAGACUUACUGGUCAAAUAUUUACUUUUGUUGAUCACUGGAAACGCUACCUACCACGCAUUGACUAGGACCACAGUGAGGAGGGAACGCUUUAGAUGAUAGAGUUUUGUUUGGGGGCUUUUUUUUGUUUUGUUUUAUUCCAGGAAUUCAGGAAAUUGCCCCAGAAGUCCGAUUUCUGAUGUGUAAAACCUUUUUUUACAGAAAACCACGACUUCCUGGAAAAGUCUUCACCGUAAAUAUUAAUCUCUUUGGCAUGAAGAGGAAAACACUGCAGCUAAUUUUUCAUGGGAUAACAAAAAUAUAAACUGCAAUUUCUUUUAUUUUUUCCCUUUCGAUGGUCUUUUUAAACGAGGAGUAAAGAUUUCAACGCCAGGUCCAUUUUCCAAAUUUUGUACCAGAACCUUGAGGAUGCUUGUCUCUCGCGCGCUUCUCCGCAGACCGAACCCUCUCCGGAACUCAGAGCUGUUCACCCAAGUCAGCGGAGGAGGCCUCCUGGGACUUGAGCCUGAGGGUGGCGAAGAACCCUAGGCAGAGAUCAUCAACUUGGUACCGAUGAGUGACGCGGAGCUUGAACAUUCCAGCGACUUGCUCCAGGGCCACUCCCAGUUAAGAGGCUGAGUGUUAACUGCAAGAGGCUGAGUGUUAACUACGCCGUUGGCUCCAGGAACCGAACCGGGUUUGGAUACAGACCCAGUCACACCAUCCAUGAAAAGCUGUUUCUAUAAUAUGAAAAAUUGUUAAAUGACGCUUUAGUAAAAGCCAUUUAAAGAUC
rnacentral:lncRNA from 1 species